GGGGCAGCACUCCAGACAAAAGGGCACCGGGUCCGGGAGGGACACAGGGGCCAGCGACAGGUGGAUCACCAGAAGGCGCUCCGGAGGCUGAUGAGCUAAUUCCCAAGGACAACCAGCAGGAGGUGCCGCUGGACUAUCCACACUCUCAAACCUCAGAGCCCUGGAAGCAUAGAGGUGAGUGGGGUUUUUUUAUUUUUGGCCAAUUACCUCCCCUUAUUUCAGUAUUAAUUUAAUAUGCAUUGUGCCUCCCGCUCUCUGAACAUGUUGAAGUCCAGCUAGGAGUUUCUCAUAAUCUUCUAUGCUUUGUAUUUUUUACUUACAAACAGUUUAGAGAUAACAGACUU